UUGGUCUGAUAGACACUAAAUUGUUGGAAAUGUAAGAAAGAGGAAGGCCAAUUACUUCAUGUCCUAUGGUCCUGUGAUAAGGUUCAGGAAUUGUGGACCAGGAUACAUGAUAACCUAUGUCAGAUUUCAGGGACCCAGGUUCCAUUCAGCCCGAGAUUAUUGGUUCUGGGAGAUGGGUCCAUCCUAAACGGGAUAAGAAGCCGGGUCCAGACUAGUUUAAUGAGAGCCAGACAGAUUCUCUGAGAGGAUGGAGGAAUGAAGGG